rnacentral:tRNA from 1 species
GGGAAUGUAGUUUAGUGGUAGAGUGCUUGCUUAGCUUGCAUGAAGCCCUAGGUUCGAUUCCUCAGUCCCA